CCUACGGGGGGCAGCAGUGGGGAAUAUUGGACAAUGGGGGGAACCCUGAUCCAGCCAUGCCGCGUGUGUGAAGAAGGCCCUCGGGUUGUAAAGCACUUUCAGUGAGGAAGAACGCCUGGUGGUUAAUACCCAUCAGGAAAGACAUCACUCACAGAAGAAGCACCGGCUAACUCCGUGCCAGCAGCCGCGGUAAUACGGAGGGUGCGAGCGUUAAUCGGAAUUACUGGGCGUAAAGCGAGCGUAGGUGGCUUGAUAAGCCGGUUGUGAAAGCCCCGGGCUCAACCUGGGAACGGCAUCCGGAACUGUCAAGCUAGAGUGCAGGAGAGGAAGGUAGAAUUCCCGGUGUAGCGGUGAAAUGCGUAGAGAUCGGGAGGAAUACCAGUGGCGAAGGCGGCCUUCUGGACUGACACUGACACUGAGGUGCGAAAGCGUGGGUAGCAAACAGGAUUAGAUACCCUAGUAGUC
rnacentral:rRNA from 1 species